GUUCCCUGGUGGAGCCACUAAUUCGGCGCCAGAACACGCAGUUCCGCGAGUCCAUCUCCCCAGAAGAACGACUAUCUUUCACACUACGCUACCUGGCUCAUGGAUCUUCAAUGAGGAUAAUCGCAAAGAAUUACCGAAUUAGCACAACAGCAGCAAGUUCCAUUGUGAGGGACACAUGUAAGGCCUUGAGGAAGGAACCAACAGCACGAACAUGGACGGCGAUUGCUGAAGAUUUUUGGCAGUUGUGGGAUUUCCCUAACUGCAUCGGAGCCAUAGACGGCAAGCACAUUUCAAUACAGGCUCCCCCAAAUGAGGGUUCUGCAUUUUUCAACUACAAGGGCAGCCACAGUGUCAUUUUGCUAGCUUUGUGCGAUGCAAAGUACAGGUUUAUAAUGGUAGACGUUGGGGAGUGUGGGUCCUGGAGUGACGGUGGGGUAUUUCGAGACUGCGAAAUGGGAAAGAAGCUGAAGUCAGGUGGCUUCUCAAUUCCU